CCUACGUGAGUCAGCAGUGAGGAAUAUUGGUCAAUGGGCGCGAGCCUGAACCAGCCAAGUAGCGUGAAGGAUGACUGCCCUACGGGUUGUAAACUUCUUUUAUAAAGGAAUAAAGUGAGGCACGUGUGCCUUUUUGUAUGUACUUUAUGAAUAAGGAUCGGCUAACUCCGUGCCAGCAGCCGCGGUAAUACGGAGGAUCCGAGCUUUAUCCGGAUUUAUUGGGUUUAACGGGAGCGUAGAUGGGUUGUUAAGUCAGUUGUGAAAGUGUGCGGCUCAACCGUAAAAUUGCAAUUGAUACUGGCAGUCUUGAGUACAGUUGAGGUAGGCGGAAUUCGUGGUGUAGCGGUGAAAUGCUUAGAUAUCACGAAGAACUCCGAUUGCGAAGGCAGCUUACUAAACUGCCACUGACAUUGAUGCUCGAAAGUGUGGGUAUCAAACAGGAUUAGAUACCCCAGUAGUC
rnacentral:rRNA from 1 species